UAGAGUUUGAUCCUGGCUCAGAUUGAACGCUGGCGGCAUGCCUUACACAUGCAAGUCGAACGGCAGCAUGAUCUAGCUUGCUAGAUUGAUGGCGAGUGGCGAACGGGUGAGUAAUACAUCGGAACGUGCCCUGUAGUGGGGGAUAACUAGUCGAAAGAUUAGCUAAUACCGCAUACGACCUGAGGGUGAAAGUGGGGGACCGCAAGGCCUCAUGCUAUAGGAGCGGCCGAUGUCUGAUUAGCUAGUUGGUGAGGUAAAGGCUCACCAAGGCGACGAUCAGUAGCUGGUCUGAGAGGACGAUCAGCCACACUGGGACUGAGACACGGCCCAGACUCCUACGGGAGGCAGCAGUGGGGAAUUUUGGACAAUGGGCGAAAGCCUGAUCCAGCAAUGCCGCGUGUGUGAAGAAGGCCUUCGGGUUGUAAAGCACUUUUGUCCGGAAAGAAACGGCUCUGGUUAAUACCUGGGGUCGAUGACGGUACCGGAAGAAUAAGGACCGGCUAACUACGUGCCAGCAGCCGCGGUAAUACGUAGGGUCCAAGCGUUAAUCGGAAUUACUGGGCGUAAAGCGUGCGCAGGCGGUUGUGCAAGACCGAUGUGAAAUCCCCGAGCUUAACUUGGGAAUUGCAUUGGUGACUGCACGGCUAGAGUGUGUCAGAGGGGGGUAGAAUUCCACGUGUAGCAGUGAAAUGCGUAGAGAUGUGGAGGAAUACCGAUGGCGAAGGCAGCCCCCUGGGAUAACACUGACGCUCAUGCACGAAAGCGUGGGGAGCAAACAGGAUUAGAUACCCUGGUAGUCCACGCCCUAAACGAUGUCAACUAGUUGUUGGGGAUUCAUUUCCUUAGUAACGUAGCUAACGCGUGAAGUUGACCGCCUGGGGAGUACGGUCGCAAGAUUAAAACUCAAAGGAAUUGACGGGGACCCGCACAAGCGGUGGAUGAUGUGGAUUAAUUCGAUGCAACGCGAAAAACCUUACCUACCCUUGACAUGCCACUAACGAAGCAGAGAUGCAUUAGGUGCUCGAAAGAGAAAUUGGACACAGGUGCUGCAUGGCUGUCGUCAGCUCGUGUCUGGAGAUGUUGGGUUAAGUCCCGCAACGAGCGCAACCC
rnacentral:rRNA from 1 species